rnacentral:piRNA from 1 species
UAGCUGGAAGAUUGUCUUCAGUCGUGGGAU